rnacentral:rRNA from 1 species
GUAGGUGGCAAGCGUUAUCCGGAAUUAUUGGGCGUAAAGCGCGCGCAGGCGGUUUCUUAAGUCUGAUGUGAAAGCCCACGGCUCAACCGUGGAGGGUCAUUGGAAACUGGGGAACUUGAGUGCAGAAGAGAAAAGCGGAAUUCCACGUGUAGCGGUGAAAUGCGUAGAGAUGUGGAGGAACACCAGUGGCGAAGGCGGCUUUUUAGGUCUGUAACUGACGCUGAGGCGCGAAAGCGUGGGGAGCAAACAGGGAUUAGAUACCCUGGUAGUCCACGCCGUAAACGAUGAGUGCUAAGUGUUAGAGGGUUUUCCGCCCCUUUAGUGCUGCAGCUAACGCAUUAAGCACUCCGCCUGGGAGUACGGUCGCAAGACUG